rnacentral:misc_RNA from 1 species
UCUUAGGUGAACCUGCGGAGGGAUCAUUACCGAGUUUACAACUCUCCAACCCCUGUGAACAUACCUAUACGUUGCCUCGGCGGAUCAGCCCGCGCCCCGUAAAACGGGACGGCCCGCCCGAGGACCCCUAAACUCUGUUUUUAGUGGAACUUCUGAGUAAAACAAACAAAUAAAUCAAAACUUUCAACAACGGAUCUCUUGGUUCUGGCAUCGAUGAAGAACGCAGCAAAAUGCGAUAAGUAAUGUGAAUUGCAGAAUUCAGUGAAUCAUCGAAUCUUUGAACGCACAUUGCGCCCGCCAGUAUUCUGGCGGGCAUGCCUGUUCGAGCGUCAUUUCAACCCUCAAGCUCAGCUUGGUGUUGGGACUCGCGGUAACCCGCGUUCCCCAAAUCGAUUGGCGGUCACGUCGAGCUUCCAUAGCGUAGUAAUCAUACACCUCGUUACUGGUAAUCGUCGCGGCCACGCCGUAAAACCCCAACUUCUGAAUGUUGACCUCGGAUCAGGUAGGAAUACCCGCUGAACUUAAGCAUAUCAAUAAGCGGAG